AACGAACGCUGGCGGCAGGCUUAACACAUGCAAGUCGAGCGCCCCGCAAGGGGAGCGGCAGACGGGUGAGUAACGCGUGGGAAUCUACCGAGCCCUAAGGAAUAGCUCCGGGAAACUGGAAUUAAUACCUUAUACGCCCUUUUGGGGAAAGAUUUAUCGGGGUUUGAUGAGCCCGCGUUGGAUUAGCUAGUUGGUGGGGUAAAGGCCUACCAAGGCGACGAUCCAUAGCUGGUCUGAGAGGAUGAUCAGCCACAUUGGGACUGAGACACGGCCCAAACUCCUACGGGAGGCAGCAGUGGGGAAUAUUGGACAAUGGGCGCAAGCCUGAUCCAGCCAUGCCGCGUGAGUGAUGAAGGCCCUAGGGUUGUAAAGCUCUUUCACCGGUGAAGAUAAUGACGGUAACCGGAGAAGAAGCCCCGGCUAACUUCGUGCCAGCAGCCGCGGUAAUGCGAUAUCG
rnacentral:rRNA from 1 species